rnacentral:tRNA from 1 species
GCUAAGGUGGCAGAUAAAUGUGUUAGAUUUAGGUUCUAAUUAAGAAUAAAUAUUCUCUUAGUA